rnacentral:misc_RNA from 1 species
GAUGAAGAACAUAGCGAAAUGCGAUAAGUAAUGUGAAUUGCAGAAUUCAGUGAAUCAUCGAAUCUUUGAACGCACAUUGCGCCCGCCAGUAUUCUGGCGGGCAUGCCUGUUCGAGCGUCAUUACAACCCUCAGGCCCCCGGGCCUGGCGUUGGGGAUCGGCGGAGCCCCCCGUGGGCACACGCCGUCCCCCAAAUACAGUGGCGGUCCCGCCGCAGCUUCCAUCGCGUAGUAGCUAACACCUCGCGACUGGAGAGCGGCGCGGCCACGCCGUAAAACACCCAACUCUUCUGAAGUUGACCUCGAAUCAGGUAGGAAUACCCGCUGAACUUAAGCAUAUCAAUAAGCGGAGGA